rnacentral:lncRNA from 1 species
CCAGCCAGGAUACUCCUGAGCAUAUUUCCCCAGUCUCCUAGGCGGGACACUCCCCGCUGGAAGUACUGAGGCAUAUCUUGGAGAGAUCCUGGCUAGGAUACUCCUGGCGCCAUCCUGGACGGAGCUCCUCAGGACAUCAACCUCAGGUCCAUCCCAGCACUAUCCCGUCUCAGACAUUCCCCGAAUGUCCACAGUACAUCCAACAGUGAGCGAUUUCCGCUGACACAGAGGGCAGAACGCGCGGGGCGUUCGCCGCGAAAUUGUUGCCAACUGUCGCGACCUAUGGCAUGGCAAAUAAAACUUAACAGACGAUGUAUUUAAAACGUAAUCUACUAAAUGAAAUCUGAAUAAUCACUAAGAGACAAAAGAAAAAUAGAAUCUAUCCGCAAAUAUUGUAAAAAAAAUUACAAUCUUUCUAUGACUGAUUUUCGCCGUUGGCACUGCGCAUGCACCCACGUGACGGUCACAGCCAAUCACAGCUCAUUGCUCGGCUCCAGCUCGACACGGCACGGCAGCCGCUCAGCACGCACGCGACGCCGACGGACGCCAGGACGCCGCUUUGUUUCGCGCGUCAAGAAAACUGCAAUUAUUCUAUGGCAUACAAAUAUCUGCGCCACCAGUGGAAACUUCAGAGUGAAAUGGAAAGACGACAUCUUAUCCUGAUGCAGGAGCUUCGCUGAAUAUUAUUGUGUAUGCCCGAGGCGUGUCCUGCAACAGGUGGACGAUGGAAGUAUUGAAGUGUCAAGUGGUCUACUUGGGCAACGGUUUUUAGUUUUAUGAGUUGCGUAUUCCAGUCCAGGAUGUGAGCGACAAGAUUUUGCCCUCAAGAAUGCCUCCAAAUCAUGCGACUUUUGUCCUGGGAUUCUUGUGUAACAUGUUCAGUAUUCAGAAACUGGAAUGAAGUUCCAUCUUCAUCAUGUUCUCAAGACAACGGGUUUCAGUUUUGAGAGUUAUCGCUUCAGUUAUGAAAAACGCGACAACUAAAAGUUUGCCUUCAAGACAGGUCUCUACUUCAGUUUUUGUACUAGGAUGUUCUCAAAUCUGUUACGAUGAUGAUGAUUUAUUACUCGACACUGCCCCCUAUCAUGCUCACUUGGUUAGUUCCUUUGCAACGAGCCUAAAAAGUAAUUAGAAAGUGACUUGAAUUCACUUUAUAGAAAGUUUUGUUGCUCCCAAAUCGAAUCGAACAGUUGCUUAGCAAAAAUUUUGAUUUACAGUUCAUGUUUGUUUAUUUUCUUUGCCUGGUUGGUGUUUGAUCUUUAUUUACUCACAAACCAGUUUAGUCAAUUGAAUUGGUUCGGAGUGUUUCCUCUAUGGUAUCUCAGUUGCCUGGUAUUUCAAAUAGGGAACGGGUUAAAUUUUGUGAUUUUAUGGGUAUUUUUUUUUUAAUUUUCAGGACAGGAUUCUUUUAUGUGAUUUAAAUUUUCUUAUUUCUUUAAGAGAGCUUUUAUAUUUCGAAUCUCCUUAUCCAUUUGCUUCUGAAAUGGAUUGUCACUAAUUAUGACAAGUUUUCGAGUCAGUGAUUGACCUAAAAUAGCACGAUUAGGUCAAUAUGCUGAAGUGGGCCUAUCGUAGAUGCUUAUUCGAUUUAUUUCUUUAACUACAGAUGCCAGUUUCAUGAAGAUAUUAUUGUUUGUCAUUGCAAUCAAUAUUUACUCUUGAUUUCUUGUCUUUUGUGUCAAUCCUGCUUUAAUGUGUUGUAUCAAAGUUCAACUUCUUGCAUUGUUAAUUAUUUUCAUGUUAUGGGUCAUGUGUUGUGUGUGCUCCUUGUUUGUUACAAUAUGUAAUGUCAUGUCUAUCUUAAGUGACUGUUCAUAAAUGUUAUGUGAAUGAAGCUUUGUGGUUUUCUUCUGGUUUUGCUUCAAACAAGCAUUGUUUUGAAUAACGACAAGUUUACAUAACUUGAACCAUUACAUUCUUGACUUGGGUUUAUAUCGUUAAGGUGGAUAGGAUUACCUCUGUUUAUUUUUCCCAUUGUUCAAAUGACCCACAUUCUGUCAUAUAUCUAUUUUCCAAUGAACUGUUAAACAAUUAUUUGUGAUUUGUUAUAAUAUGUGCAUGCGUACUGAAUAAAGUUUUCUGCAUGAAUAAAA